AACGAACGCUGGCGGCAGGCUUAACACAUGCAAGUCGAACGCUCGUAGCAAUACGGGAGUGGCGGACGGGUGAGUAACGCGUGGGAACGUGCCCUGAGGUACGGAAUAACUGCGGGAAACUGCAGCUAAUACCGUAUGAGCCCCGCAAGGGGGAAAGAUUUAUCGCCUUGGGAGCGGCCCGCGGCCCAUUAGCUUGUUGGUGGGGUCAAGGCCUACCAAGGCAACGAUGGGUAGCUGGUCUGAGAGGACGAUCAGCCACACUGGGACUGAGACACGGCCCAGACUCCUACGGGAGGCAGCAGUGGGGAAUCUUGCGCAAUGCGCGAAAGCGUGACGCAGCAACACCGCGUGAGGGAAGACGGCCUUAGGGUUGUAAACCUCUUUCAGAUGGGACGAAGGUGAUGCGGUGAAUAGCCGAUGUCAUUGACGGUACCGUCAGAAGAAGCUCCGGCU
rnacentral:rRNA from 1 species